rnacentral:rRNA from 1 species
GCGUAGACGGAAUGGCAAGUCUGAUGUGAAAGGCCGGGGCUCAACCCCGGGACUGCAUUGGAAACUGUCAAUCUAGAGUACCGGAGGGGUAAGUGGAAUUCCUAGUGUAGCGGUGAAAUGCGUAGAUAUUAGGAGGAACACCAGUGGCGAAGGCGGCUUACUGGACGGUAACUGACGUUGAGGCUCGAAAGCGUGGGGAGCAACA